rnacentral:rRNA from 1 species
UGGGGAAUAUUGGACAAUGCGGGAAACCGUGAUCCAGCAAUGCCGCGUGAGUGAUGAAGGCCUUAGGGUUGUAAAGCUCUUUUACCAGGGAUGAUAAUGACAGUACCUGGAGAAUAAGCUCCGGCUAACUCCGUGCCAGCAGCCGCGGUAAUACGGAGGGAGCUAGCGUUGUUCGGAAUUACUGGGCGUAAAGCGCGCGUAGGCGGCUAUCCAAGUCAGGGGUGAAAUCCCGGGGCUCAACCCCGGAACUGCCCUUGAAACUAGGUAGCUAGAAUACUGGAGAGGUGAGUGGAAUUCCGAGUGUAGAGGUGAAAUUCGUAGAUAUUCGGAAGAACACCAGUGGCGAAGGCGGCUCACUGGCUCGAUACUGACGCUGAGGUGCGAAAGUGUGGGGAGCAAACAGGAUUAGAUACCCGCGUAGUCC